rnacentral:rRNA from 1 species
CUCCUACGGGAGGCAGCAGUCGGGAAUAUUGCGCAAUGGAGGAAACUCUGACGCAGUGACGCCGCGUAUAGGAAGAAGGUUUUCGGAUUGUAAACUAUUGUCGUUAGGGAAGAGAAAGGACAGUACCUAAGGAGGAAGCUCCGGCUAACUACGUGCCAGCAGCCGCGGUAAUACGUAGGGAGCGAGCGUUAUCCGGAAUUAUUGGGUGUAAAGGGUGCGUAGACGGGAAGAUAAGUUAGUUGUGAAAUCCCUCGGCUUAACUGAGGAACUGCAACUAAAACUGUUUUUCUUGAGUGCAGGAGAGGUAAGUGGAAUUCCUAGUGUAGCGGUGAAAUGCGUAGAUAUUAGGAGGAACACCAGUGGCGAAGGCGACUUACUGGACUGUAACUGACGUUGAGGCACGAAAGUGUGGGGAGCAAACAGGAUUAGAUACCCUGGUAGUCCACACCGUAAACGAUGGAUACUAGGUGUAGGAGAUANGAAGUCUUCUGUGCCGUCGCAAACGCAGUAAAAUCCCACCUGGGAGACGCCGCAGGG